rnacentral:rRNA from 1 species
ACUUAAAUUGAAGAGUUUGAUCAUGGCUCAGAUUGAACGCUGGCGGCAGGCCUAACACAUGCAAGUCGAGCGGUAGCACAGAGAGCUUGCUCUCGGGUGACGAGCGGCGGACGGGUGAGUAAUGUCUGGGAAACUGCCUGAUGGAGGGGGAUAACUACUGGAAACGGUAGCUAAUACCGCAUAAUGUCGCAAGACCAAAGUGGGGGACCUUCGGGCCUCAUGCCAUCAGAUGUGCCCAGAUGGGAUUAGCUAGUAGGUGGGGUAACGGCUCACCUAGGCGACGAUCCCUAGCUGGUCUGAGAGGAUGACCAGCCACACUGGAACUGAGACACGGUCCAGACUCCUACGGGAGGCAGCAGUGGGGAAUAUUGCACAAUGGGCG